rnacentral:tRNA from 1 species
GGUUCUAUAGCUCAGUCGGUAGAGCGUCGCUUUCAUACGGCGUGUGUCGCUGGUUCGAUUCCAGCUAGAACCU